CUACGGGACGCAGCAGUGGGGAAUAUUGGACAAUGGGGGCAACCCUGAUCCAGCAAUGCCGCGUGUGUGAAGAAGGUCUUCGGAUCGUAAAGCACUUUCGACAGGGACGAUGAUGACGGUACCUGUAGAAGAAGCCCCGGCUAACUUCGUGCCAGCAGCCGCGGUAAUACGAAGGGGGCUAGCGUUGCUCGGAAUUACUGGGCGUAAAGGGCGGGUAGGCGGCUCGGUCAGUCAGGCGUGAAAUUCCUGGGCUUAACCUGGGGACUGCGCUUGAUACUGUCGAGCUUGAGGCCGAGAGAGGGUGGUGGAAUUCCCAGUGUAGAGGUGAAAUUCGUAGAUAUUGGGAAGAACACCGGUGGCGAAGGCGACCACCUGGCUCGGUACUGACGCUGAGGCGCGACAGCGUGGGGAGCAAACAGGAUUAGAUACCCGGGUAGUC
rnacentral:rRNA from 1 species